GACGAACGCUGGCGGCGUGCUUAACACAUGCAAGUCGAACGGAAAGGCCCUGCUUUUGUGGGGUGCUCGAGUGGCGAACGGGUGAGUAACACGUGAGUAACCUGCCCUUGACUUUGGGAUAACUUCAGGAAGCUGGGGCUAAUACCGGAUAGGAGCUCCUGCUGCAUGGUGGGGGUUGGAAAGUUUCGGCGGUUGGGGACGGACUCGCGGCUUAUCAGCUUGUUGGUGGGGUAGUGGCUUACCAAGGCUUUGACGGGUAGCCGGCCUGAGAGGGUGACCGGCCACAUUGGGACUGAGAUACGGCCCAGACUCCUACGGGAGGCAGCAGUGGGGAAUAUUGCACAAUGGGCGGAAGCCUGAUGCAGCAACGCCGCGUGCGGGAUGACGGCCUUCGGGUUGUAAACCGCUUUCGCCUGUGACGAAGCGUGAGUGACGGUAAUGGGUAAAGAAGCACCGGCUAACUACGUG
rnacentral:rRNA from 1 species